UUCUAUAUUCUGCCAAUGGGAAAGUCACAACGUUGAGUAGGGCUCACAAGAACAGAGCCAAGAGAACGUAUAUAUGCUAUGAAAGGGUUUCGUUAGAAUGACUGACGUGGUGGUUGGCCAAUAAGAGCCUUCUGCAAGCUAGAGAGGCAUAGAGUCCUCUAUCUGCUCAGUUCACAAAGCUGGAUGCCUCUGUGGUCUCAGGCUGGCUCUGUAGGCCUGCUGGGUUUCUGCAAAACCUUUGCUCUUUAGUUCAGGUUGCAAAGCUUGAGAAACUGCAGCAGGAACAAGGUUCGAUAGUCAGGAGCAGGGGGGGAAGGGAAGCUUAGCUCUCCUCAGGUUUCUUUUAUAUCUGAAUGCCUCAUCAGGAGGUGCUGCCCAUGCUGGGGGUGGCAACGGGGUUCUGGGGAGCAGUCUUCUUCAUGAAAAUGCCUUUGGGGACCCUGUGGUGCUUUGUAUAGGAAUGGGCCCCAUAGACUCGUGUGUUUGAAUGCUUGGCACCAUUAGGAGGUGUGGUCUUGUUGGAGUAGGUGUGGUCUUGUUGGAGUAGGUGUGGUCUUGUUGGAGUAGGUGUGGUCUUGUUGGAAGAAGUGUGUCACUGUGGGGCUGGGCUUUGAGGUCUCAUAACCUCAGGUGAUAUAUGCCCGGUGUGAGCGAGAUACAAUCAUCUUCUGCUGCCUGCAGAUGAAGAUGUAGAACUCUCAGCUGCUUCCCCAGCUCCAUGUAUGCCUGCAUGCUGCCAUGCUUCUCACCAUGAUGAGAACAGGCUGAACCUCUGACACUGUAAACCAGCCCCAGUUAAAUGUUUGGAUCUUUACUUAGUGGGUUUGUUACCAGCAGUGCAAUGGCUUCAGACUUCCUGGAAGUAUUUUGUGAACACUAUAGGAGGAAGCAGCGAAUUGUUUCACUUUUAUCUACAUUUUUUUGAAACUGGAAUGUUUGCUACAGGAAAGGGAAUAUGCAAAUGUGAACUGGGGGGGUUGGACUUAGAGGAGUCCCUCCUAGAGGCACGGUGUCAAAAAAAAACGUAUGCAUGAAUUUUCUCUUACUGGCUGAAAGAAUCCAGACGCAGCAGAUACAUAUACAACACACUUCUGUAACCGAGCCUUAGAAAUCAUUUCAGAAGAGGUGAGGUUGUGUCUCUUAGAAAUAUCCAAACGACACCCAUAAAGUCUCACCAACACGGCUGCCUCAACACAAGCUGAGCAAGGAUGGCUCCAGUAGACAUGCUAACAUGGAAGGGGGAAAUCUCAUGGGACCUCAGUCCUAGGUGAAGAACUACAGGCAACCAAGGAAUGCUGAGAGCAGCAGCAGUAGUUCUUCCCCAGGGAAGAGACCCAGAUUGGCUACCCAAUGCCAAGUGAUCAGUCCUGAUUCAUAUACAACAAGAAACUUCAUAUUGACUGGGCACAGUGUGUUUAUGUAU
rnacentral:lncRNA from 1 species